rnacentral:piRNA from 1 species
UGAUGUCUACCGAAGGCACAGGUGCUCCCAA